CAGCAGCCACGGGAAUACAGAGGGUGCGAGCGUUAAUCGGAUUUACUGGGCGUAAAGCGUGUGUAGGUUGUUGUUCAAGUCAGUUGUGAAAUCCCUGGGCUCAACCUGGGAACUGCUUCUGAGACUGAACGACUAGAGUACGGUAGAGGGUGGUGGAAUUUCCGGUGUAGCGGUGAAAUGCGUAGAUAUCGGAAGGAACAUCAAUGGCGAAGGCAGCCACCUGGGCCUGUACUGACACUGAGACACGAAAGCGUGGGGAUCAAACAGGAUUAGAUACCUGUGUAGUCCCUGUCUCUUAUAA
rnacentral:rRNA from 1 species